UAAUCAUGUUUAUUUCAGUUUUGUAGUUUUGUGUCUGUGUGAGUGAUCUCAUAUGGUAGUGGCGCGGUAAAUCGGCGCAUUAAAAGCUAAUUACGGUGCAGAUGCUUAAAAUCAUUAAUUUUUCUUCCGUUUUCGAUUGGGAAACGUUGGCCGAAUGGAAAUCAAAACCAAAACAUGAGCCAAACCGGGGAGAUCGUCUAAACUAGAUAGAAAUUUAAACAUUAACAUUGCUUUUUAUGUUUUGGGGGGACUGGGGGGGAAAAUGGGAAGGGGCAACUGUCUUUUUAGCAUUGCGAAAAAAAUUUUCUUUUUUUUUAGUGUGUUUUUGUUAUUUUGUGAUGGUUUGGCAUGAACAAAAUUGCGGGUCGCAGUUUCGUUUAGGCUGCAACUUUCAAACAACUCUCGAGUUAUUACAGAUUAUCGCUAUCAAAUAUUACUUUUCUUUGUGGUUUCGCUUUUGCCGCUAUCGUUAUUGUUAUUAGGUUUGUUAAUUUCGUUAAACUGUUCGUUUUACUUAUUACCAUUUACAAGUAUUGUAUAAAAUAAUUUACAUUAACUAAACUAGACUUUGCAGUACAUGUUCGAGUGAUGAGUGACCUCCUCGCCUUUCUUGCCGUUCUCUUCGUUUUGGUGAGUGGGUCUGUGUUCCUAGCGUUCACUGUAGUGGGUGGUGGGCACGUGGGCACGCGCAGGCAGCUCUGCUCCAGGUGUGUGGCCCUUACGAACUAAAUUAAACUAAAGCAGAACCCCAUGAACUAACAAAACGGGUAACACUGAAACUUUGAAAUAUAUAGUAUUCUGUGUGCGGUAACUAAAAAAUCAUGUCCUAGAACUAGAGUACCAAUCGAACCGAUUAGACAUACAAACAUACAGGUCAGCCACGAUUUUCGCAUUCGACAGGAAACUGUGUUAACUAAAUCCGUGAAAUCUCGCCAAAAGUAUUGGAAAUUUUUCAGCAAAUGAGUCGAUUUACACACACUCAUGAGCAAACAGAAAAUCAAAAUACGAACUUUAAACGCGGUUUUACAGGUUUAACCAACGUGUGCAAUAAACACUGAACAUCACUUAGCAAUAGCUUUCAUACGCUUUCCAUUUCGAUUUGGAAAAUUGUGAGUGUCUUAGCCAGUUUUAUAUUCAGACAAUUUGUCAUUGUUGUGCGAGCACAAAACAAUCAUUUUACCUAAUUUAAAAAUCAAAGAAAACUGCGAUAUCGUGUCGAAUGUGAUAAUCGAAACAGCCUGAUAUUUCCAUAGAUAUAUAUACAUAUGCAUACUCACAAUCUGUCCACGAGUUAGACGCCUGAUGCGAACAGGGGGCUAUAAACUAUAUAUGUAUUUGUAUCGGAAUAGUAAACACAAGUAAUGAAAGAACUCGACGAA
rnacentral:sRNA from 1 species